CCCCCCUCUAGGCGACAUCCACGAUCUUUCACCGCAUCUCCUUGGACGCCGACCGCUGCAAGUACGCCGUGGGGUACGCGCUGCACAUCCUCGCCGGCGGCGGCGCCACAUGCUACUCACUCUUCUCCAUCGACACGCUCCACGGCCACCCCCUUCAGGAGGCAUGAAGAGAUUGGCUAUAGACCAAGCAGGAGAACAGGGGAUAGGAAAAUGCAGAAAAUUGCCAGGCAAUAUAUGUUCUCUUGCACGUUUGAAUCCUGAUUUGGAUUAUCCUACAGAUUUGAAUAUUUUUAUCAUACCAAUUAGCUUUUUAUUUUUUCAUGAGUAUAAUGAUAUGCCUGAUGCCCAAGGUUGUGCUUUUCCUCCUCAUAAUCCAAGUUACUCGAAAAUAGAUAUCAUAGCCCUGGAUUUGAUUGCAGUAGAAGUAUCAUAGAUUCAUCUCCACAUAUACCCCAUCUGUGGGUGUCAAGCCAAUCACCCUGAUUCCUAUAUGCUAGCCUGAGUUGUGAAUCAUUGUCUCCUUAGGACUGUUAACCUAGAAAUUCUCAAAAUAAAGCAAAACAUCAAGCCCUUGAUCAUGUGGACCCUUACUUCAAAAAGCAUGGAUGUGAUCUAAUAUAAGCUUAUUCUGUGAUUUUCCACCGAGAUUCCUCACGCUGUGCACAGAUGAAGGAUGUUGGGCCAUUUAGAUGCCUUCUUCAGCGCGCCAUCAUCCUCUCCUCCUCUAGCCAACAUCGAUGGCAUUUCGGCGUUGAGGAGAAAGUAUCGUGUCACAUAUAUGCUGCUUGAUUCCCUGGAUUCUAGAUCUCCUUGGGAAAAAGUAGGUGAAUGAUUUUCAAAGGUGCAGAUUAAUAGGGCAUGAUAACCCUGUUUUUAUUCUUCGGUUUAUUUUGAUCCCAGGCAUUAGAAGGAUUUUCUUUUUGACUGUUACGUUGCUCUGCUAGGCAUUAGAAAGAUUUCAUUUUUUACUGGUACGCCUGCUCUGCACCAUUAUCUAAAUAAAAUCCUAAGAAGAGUAUGUCUGUAGCUAGCUUUCACUUGCUUCUGUUUUGGGAAAUGUAGCAACAAUAUAGCAUGUACUCCUAUGUCCUGCAUAUGAACGUGAGAAGAAACUGAGGCACGCCCUACUAUAUUAAUACCGGUGACCCAUGUUCAGCUAAUUGUUUUACACACUUUUGUAUGGGCACUGUUUAAUAUCGUACUAGAUUUAUCAUUCCCCGCAAAAAUAAUAAUAUAGGGUAUAUGAUUGUCCAGUAAAAUAGAGUAGGCCAAUCUAUAGGCUGAAGUAAGUUAGUUUUGUUUUAUUCACAGGAGUGCAUGUGUUUUAUCACUCACUAAUUAUAUGGGGUUUUCACACAUGCAAGUGAUGCAUUUAACAGAUUUUGAGAGGAAAUAGGUUGUUUUUUUAUUGUGUUUCUUUUCAUAGAAAUAAAAGUCGGUUUUCAGAGCGACGUUGGUUUCAGCCUUGGCCUUCUAAAGUUGAAAGAUCACGCUGUUUUAAUUACUUCUGGAGGAUUCCUUCAUUUUGAGAAAGUCAAUAUCUCAGCAGCAAGCUGGCAACUUGGCCAAUCAUGUUGGACGAACCAAUUCUUUUAGACUCAAAUUCUUGGAUUGGUGUUGUAUAUUCUGAAUUUCUUUUGUGAACAAAAGUGAGGAGUGGGAGAGGAUCUGCAAUUGUGAAAUUUACUUGUUUUCAUUGGAAUUGUCUACUAAUUAUGAAAUGAUUUUUAUUUCUUCUGGAUUCGGUAUACUAUUCUUGGACUCAUGAGAUUGUUGUUUUAUUUCAAUGUUGGACGUGGUUCUGACAAAAAAUGCAGGCUGUAGCUAAUGGAGACUGUAGCAUGCUGGUAUAGUGUCAGGUCCUGACGAUCAUGAGUGUGUUGCAUGCCUGGGGCCUGGCUCGUUGCGUGCAGUGACCCAGUGGCCGACGUGGGUGAGGACCUGUAGACCGGGCACAACGGUGAGGAUGAACGAGAACGUGCUGACGCCUGUGCGCGCCACCACGCCCACCGCCAGCUCCAGCUGCGGGCUUCAGCAGCACAUCAUCCCGCUGCUUGAGGUCAGAAUUCUCGUCUGCGGUGGUGAGGCAGAGACGGCGCUCAAGGGUAGGGGCUUGGACGCCGAGGCCGAGCGAGGGGAUGGCGAGGAGCUUGGAGACGAGUUGGUUGACGUGCUGGCCUGGGAGCUCUGGUCGGCGGCGUCAAAGGCGCUGAUGUCGCCGAUGGGGAUGGACGGUGGGCCUGGUCAUACCGCCGAUUACGUUAUUACAGUUCAUUAGAGUAACCAAACAAAUUCUGUUUUUUCUCCAUUCCCUUUACAGUAAUUGUAUAACUCGAUUGUGUUUGCGUUUGCGUUAAGUUCCUUGCACCGAACACCUCCUAGGUGUAUACGCGAGCAGCAAUUACGAAAACAGUAGAUGAUGUGCAAUUAGCAGUUUAUUAUGCCUUAAAAGA